rnacentral:rRNA from 1 species
AUUGAAAGCUGGCGUCUUCGGCGUCCGCAUUGUAAUCUCAAGAAGUGUUUUCCGCUUCGGACCAUGCCUAAGUCCCUUGGAAAAGGGCAUCAUAGAGGGUGAUAAUCCCGUACAUGGCAUGGAGCGCCCGAAGCUUUGUGAUACGCUUUCUACGAGUCGAGUUGUUUGGGAAUGCAGCUCAAAAUGGGUGGUAAAUGCCAUCUAAGGCUAAAUAUUGGGGAGAGACCGAUAGCGAACAAGUACAGUGAUGGAAAGAUGAAAAGAACUUUGAAAAGAGAGUUAAACAGUACGUGAAAUUGCCAAAAGGGAAGGGUAGGAGGUCAGAGAUGCGUCUUGGGAUUCAGCCUUGCUUUUGCAUGGUGUUUUUCCCAAGUUGCAGGCCAACGUCGGUUUUGGGCACUGGAGAAGGGUAGGAGGAACGUGGCACCUCUCGGGGUGUGUUAUAGCCUCCUACUGGAUACAGCGACCGAGACCGAGGAACGCAGCGUACUCGUAAGAGCGGGCCUUUUGGCACCUUUACGCUUAGGGCGUUGGCAUAAUGGCCCUCUACCACCCGUCUUG